GUUUUUCAUCCUCUUUUGCUGAAGAAGAAGAAAAGAAGAGGAGGACUGUUGCCAUCGCCGCCCCGUUGGUAGCCCUCGCUCUGGUGCUCGUCCUCGUGGCCAUUGUCGUCGUCAUCAAGUGUCAUCCACGCAAACCAGACGAUUACGCACCAGCGAGUGCCGAAGUGCCGAGCUCGCCGAAAAGGUCAAAAGCGGUGCAAAACACAGCGGCCGGCGCAACACCGUGACAACGUUUCAUGGACACGAUAAAGAACUUAUGCCUCUGGGUUUUGUGAUCAUGUCUGUCUGCACAUGUUGCUCCAAGGUCUGCUCCAAGGGCCACAGCAGCUAUCCAUGCUAAUCGUUGGGCCACAACGGCGGUUUCCAUUAUUUGUGAGCCUUCAGCUAUCGGUGUCUUUCUGAAAGAAAAGUUGUUUGUUUAUUUUAAACACACAAAAUGCAAUUCUCUUAGUUUUUUUGUCUAGUUUGACGGUAAACUAUGAGUGUCAUUAACCAGCCUGAAUUGUCUUAUUUUGGGGGGGGUGUUCGAGGAUAGACAAACACAAUGUUA